rnacentral:rRNA from 1 species
GACGGAGGAUGCAAGUGUUAUCCGGAAUCACUGGGCGUAAAGCGUCUGUAGGUGGUCAAAUAAGUCAACUGUUAAAUCUUGAGGCUUAACCUCAAAAUCGCAGUCGAAACUAUUAGACUAGAGUAUAGUAGGGGUAAAGGGAAUUUCCAGUGGAGCGGUGAAAUGCGUAGAGAUUGGAAAGAACACCGAUAGCGAAGGCACUUUACUGGGCUAUUACUAACACUCAGAGACGAAAGCUAGGGUAGCAAAUGGG